CCCCCAGUCCAGAGCCUUAACCCCGUCGUGGCUGCACUGGCUGAGGCGCGGGUCGCCGCCCCUCAGGCUGGAAAGCCAGACUGGGGCGAGUCGCUGUCCCAGUCCCUCCGCGGGCGGGCGUCCAGACAGCAGUGAUCAGAGGGAUGAACAGGCCACAGCUGCCUGGGCAGAAGAAGCCCCUUUGGGGUCAUGGAAAUGAUCUUCUACAAAGGAGGAAACAUCCUACAUCAUAAAGUAGAAUGGCACCAUCCCAGGAGAUCUGUAACCCAACACUUCAGCCAAGUACCAAACAGAUGCAGGACAUUCAUCUCCUCAAACACCUUCCAAGGCAGUUGUGAAACAAGGAAACAGGAACCCUGAAACCUGAAAUGUUCCCAGCUGGCUGCAAGCCCUGGCUUUCUCCGUUGCUCUGACACUCCUGUGUGGAUUCCAGCAUCGUCUGAGAUUUAAUGACAGUGGAACAGGUUGUAGAGAGGUCAUUUUAUCCAUAGCCAUCAGACUGGGAGAAAGAAGAAGGUGAAUGGACAGAAAAGAACAUACUUCUAGGAGAAAACAAUAAAACAUAACAAGAUGAAGCAUUUUUAAGAUAAAACAAAACCCAUCAUAUCGAAGCUGACCAAGACAAACCAACAGAAAACUAAAACAGCCCCAAGAGAAGGCACAAGAAUCAGAGACCAACUUGUUCACACGUUCAGGAUAAAAGCACUGGACCAAUGGCUGUCAUGUAUGCACAGAGGGCCUGGUGCAGAAUCGCGUAGACUCUGUGCUUGCUGCUUCAGUCUCUUCGACAGGAUGCCCAUUGCAGAUGCCAACUCACACUGAAGAAACAUAGCUUUCUCCAGUUCUUCCAGAAUUCCCUGCAAACCCUGCAAAUACAGCACUCUAUUAGGUUCAAGAAUCGCCAGACAGUUCCAUAGGCUGGACAGCAGUGAAACAACCAGCUAUCCCAAGUCAUGGCCAGCACCCCAGCUUUCUCAAGUCCCCAAAGAUGGUCGAUGCCCCCUGGGUCAGCAGGAAGAAGUCUCAAGAACUUGAUGUCCUCAUUUUCCUAACCUGCCAUACCUAAGAUGGAAGAAUGUUUUCAUCCAGACAAAUACCAACCUGGCUCCAUCCUGUGGCGAUCUGGCAGUAUGGUGCAUCUAGUAAAUCUCUAACUUUCCUGUUCUUGAUAUAAUUAGGAGGGCACAAUGGAAUUUCUGGCUUCAUGGUGGAAGGGAUUUUUUUUCCAAAGAAUUAUUUUGUUUAGAGAGUCUACUAUUGAACAUAUUUUUAUCCCUCACCAAAGCCCAUAUGAAAUUUCCCAAAGUGAAAGGCAUUGAUAUUGUGAAUCAUUAAAAAUGAAAUUAAAAAGGUGCUGGAGAAGAGUGGUCUGCAAUGUCAAAAUGCUAGAACUUUGUCAAGCAGCAAUGGUCGCCAUGUAGUCCAUCACACACACAAAUACACACACACACACACACACACACAC